rnacentral:sRNA from 2 species
UGCCAAGUCCUGCCGACUUCCAGCGGCAAAACAACACAGGAAAACGAUGGCAGGAGCGGGGGAACCGCAUUGGUCCCGGGAAACCGAGACCUUGGGGUGAAGCACCGGAAACGGUGCCGGGCUAUCUCCAGUCCGAAUCCGACAGCUCACCCCGGCGGCAUCCAGGAGAGGUACU